UGAACUUUAGGUCUCCUACUGAUACCUUUACCAACAAUCUUGAAAUCAAUUCUUCAGAUUCUUUCAGCCAACGAUCCCAACUUUUGUGGAAUCGUCUUCAUCCCCUCUACAAACAAGCAUUUAGGUCAUUCUUGGGAAUGAUUAUUAUCUCAUUCAGAAGAGGAUCAGUUAUCAACACGCUGGACCUCGAAUUUCAAGCAACAGAUGUUCCUAGUAAUCAAGCAAUCGAAAAUGUUUUAAU